AAGUAUAUGCAUAUUUGAUAUGUAGAAACUGCGAACGGCUCAUUAUAACAGUUAUAAUCUACUUGACAUUUUUCUUAUAAGGAUAACUACGGAAAAUCUGUAGCUACUACUUGAAAAAUAUUAGUGUCCCGCUGAAGAUCCAUUUUUUUGGACGUCAAGGAUAUAUAAUAGUACUUGUUAGUAUAAAAUUCGUAUAUAUGAGCAUAUGUUGAAAUCCGAUAUAUAUAUAUGUGAGUAUAUGCAAGGUUGAUCGAAUCAUAACAAAGAAGCGACACAUGAUGACUUUUUUAAGUCAUUAAGUGCAUAUCAAUCGAGUUUCUGACCUAUCAGCUUUUGAUGUUAGGAUAUGGUCCUAACAUGGCAGUGACGGGUAACGGGGAAUUAGAGUUCGAUUCCGGAGAGGGAGCCUGAGAAACGGCUACCACAUCUAAGGAAGGCAGCAGGCGCGUAAAUUACCCAAUUCUAAAGAAGAGAGGUAGUGACAAGAAAUAAUAGGACAAGACCGAUUAUCGGUUUUGAAUCUGUGCUGAUAGAAAUGUAAAUACUUUCUAAAAUUCCAUUGGAGGGCAAGUCUGGUGCCAGCAGCCGCGGUAAUUCCAGCUCCAAUAGCGUAUAUUAAAAUUGUUGCAGUUAAAACGCUCGUAGUUGAAUUUUGACGGAGUGGCCCUGGUACUGUAUUGUAUAGUUAACAAAUUAUUUGUUUUCUAUUACUAUUACUGUUUAUUGGGUUAAUCAUCUCCAUUUUAUAUUUUUUAUUGCAUUUGGGGCGUGUUAAAUUUUAACAUGUUUCAGUUGUAACGAAAAAUUACGUUACUUUGAGUAAAUUAGAGUGUUUAUAGCAAACGUUAUAUUGUUUGAAUACUAUAGCAUGGAAUAACAUUAUUGGACGAGGGCACUAUUUAGUAAAUCGUAUAGUUUUUAUGAUAUAUUUCUCUCAGUUGUAUCAUAAUAAUUGUACUUUUUCAGUACCUUCGUAACGAUUAACAGGAGUAGGUUGGGGGCAUUUGUAUUCAGAAGCUAGAGGUGAAAUUCUAAGAUUUUCUGUAGACAAACAACUGCGAAAGCAUUUGCCUAAAAUACUUCCAUUAAUCAAGAACGAAAGUUAAGGGAGUGAAGACGAUUAGAUACCGUCGUAAUCUUAACCAUAAACGAUACCGACUAGGUUUUGGAUCAGUCGAAGGGGAAAAAGGGUGGCAAUGGUAUUGAAUAUAUUUUAUAUGUAUGCUUUACUUUUGUACGCACUUUUCCCAACUUACCUUUUCAGUACCUUAUGAGAAAUCAAAGUUUUUGGGUUCUGGGGCGAGUAUUCGCGCAAGCGAGAAAGUUAAAAGAAUUGACGGAAGGGCACCACCAGGCGUGGAGCUUGCGGCUUAAUUUGACUCAACACGGGGAAACUCACUAGUUUAAAACAAGAGUAGGAUUGACAAAAAUAAAAAUAACCAAAAUAAAAGAUUAAUAGUUCUUUCUUGAUUUCUUGGAUGGUGAUGCAUGGCCGUUUUUAGUUCGUGAAUUUUGAUUUGUCUGGUUAAUUCCGAUAACGAACGAGAUCUUAGCUUGCUAAUUAGCGAUAAGUACGUUACAUUCUGCAUGAUAAUUCAAAAAAAAUGAUUUAUAAUAUGUGUAUUUGUAUUUUUGCGCAUAAGUAUUAUUAUAUUCUUAACCGUUUUUCGGGAGAGAUUAUUUUAGUACUUAUAAAUACAAUAUACAAAUGUAUAUAUUCAAUUAGUUUUGUUUUUUUAUCUGCGAAUGUACUUGUUUGAUCUUGAAGCUUCUUAGAGGAACGAUGUGUGUUUAACACAAG
rnacentral:rRNA from 1 species